UGACGGCUAAUUGUCGGCGAACCUUCGGCAGGAGCAUACAGCCCGUCAACUGACCAAUGGCACUGGAGAACGGAGUCGCCAGCAACCAAUUGGCUAUCAGGAGGAGGGACUUAAGACUCCACACACGGAAACAUGGGGGGAGCAGAGAGGCCAGAGAGGAGCAGCGGACAGGUGCUGCUAUAUCCAGCUGCUAUUGCCUCGAUGAUUGUGGAGCCCAGCAAAAUUAAAAUAAAGACGUGUU